AGGAUGAUCAGCCACACUGGAACUGAGACACGGUCCAGACUCCUACGGGAGGCAGCAGUGGGGAAUAUUGCACAAUGGGAGAAACCCUGAUGCAGCCAUGCCGCGUGUGUGAAGAAUGCCUUCAGGUUGUAAAGCACUUUCAGUAGGGAGGAAGGUAGUGUAGUUAACACCUGCAUUACUUGACGUUACCUACAGAAGAAGCACCGGCUAACUCCGUGCCAGCAGCCGCGGUAAUACGGAGGGUGCGAGCGUUAAUCGGAAUUACUGGGCGUAAAGCGCAUGCAGGCGGCCUGUUAAGUCAGAUGUGAAAGCCCGGGGCUUAACCUCGGAAUUGCAUUUGAAACUGGCAGGCUAGAGUCUUGUAGAGGGGGGUAGAAUUUCUGGUGUAGCGGUGAACUGCCUAGAGAUCUGAUGGAAUACCACUGGCGAAGGCGGCCCCCUGGACAACGACAGACGCUCAGAUGCGAAAGCGUGGGGAGCAAUCAGGAUUAGAUACACUGGUAGUACACGCAGUAAACGAUGUCUACUUUGAUGUUGUGUCCUUGAGCUGUGGCUUUUGGAGCUAACGUGUUAAGUAGACCGCCUGGGGAGUACGGUAGCAAGAUUAAAACUCAAAUGAAUUGACGGGGGCCCGCACAAGCGGUGGAGCAUGUGGUUUAAUUUGAUGCAACGCGAAGAACCUUACAUACUCUUGACAUCCAGAGAAGCUUGAAGAGAUUCGAGUGUGCCUUCGGGAACUGUGAGACAGGUGCUGCAUGGCUGUAGUCAGCUGGUGUUGUGAAAUGUUGGGUUAAGUCCCGCAACGAGCGCAACCCUUAUCUUUGUUUGCCAGCAUUUCGGGUGGGAACUUCAGGGAGACUUCCGGUGAUAAACUGGAGGAAGGUGGGGACGAUGUCAAGUCAUCAUGGCCCUUACGAGUAGGGCUACACACGUGGUGCAAUGGCAUAUACAGAGGGCAGCAAGACCGCGAGGUGGAGCGAAUCCCAGAAAGUAUGUCGUAGUCCGGAUCGGAGUCUGCAACUAGACUCCGUGAAGUCGGAAUCGCUAGUAAUCGUGGAUCAGAAUGCCACGGUGAAUACGUUCCCGGGCCUUGUACACACCGCCCGUCACACCAUGGGAGUGGGCUGCACCAGAAGUAUGAUAGCUUAACCUUCGGGAGGGCGUUUACCACGGUGUGGUUCAUGACUGGGGUGAAGUCGUAACAA
rnacentral:rRNA from 1 species